GGCAGUUCUCGGGUGACAUACCCCAGAACCAGGCUCCCUCCUCUCUGGUUCAGGGUGUGUCCUCGAGAACCCCA
rfam:Myotis davidii contig52433, whole genome shotgun sequence.